GAUGAACGCUGGCGGCGUGCCUAAUACAUGCAAGUCGAGCGAAUGGAUCAAGAGCUUGCUCUUAUGAAGUUAGCGGCGGACGGGUGAGUAACACGUGGGUAACCUGCCCAUAAGACUGGGAUAACUCCGGGAAACCGGGGCUAAUACCGGGUAACAUUUUGAACCGCAUGGUUCGAAAUUGAAAGGCGGCUUCGGCUGUCACUUAUGGAUGGACCCGCGUCGCAUUAGCUAGUUGGUGAGGUAACGGCUCACCAAGGCAACGAUGCGUAGCCGACCUGAGAGGGUGAUCGGCCACACUGGGACUGAGACACGGCCCAGACUCCCACGGGAGGCAGCAGUAGGGAAUCUUCCGCAAUGGACGAAAGUCUGACGGAGCAACGCCGCGUGAGUGAUGAAGGCUUUCGGGUCGUAAAACUCUGUUGUUAGGGAAGAACAAGUGCUAGUUGAAUAAGCUGGCACCUUGACGGUACCUAACCAGAAAGCCACGGCUAACUACGUGCCAGCCGCCGCGGUAA
rnacentral:rRNA from 1 species